UACGUAGGUGGCAAGCGUUGUCCGGAAUUAUUGGGCGUAAAGCGCGCGCAGGCGGUCCUUUAAGUCUGAUGUGAAAUCCCACGGCUCAACCGUGGAAGGUCAUUGGAAACUGGGGGACUUGAGUACAGAAGAGGAAAGCGGAAUUCCAAGUGUAGCGGUGAAAUGCGUAGAGAUUUGGAGGAACACCAGUGGCGAAGGCGGCUUUCUGGUCUGUAACUGACGCUCAUGCACGAAAGCGUGGGGAGCAAACAGG
rnacentral:rRNA from 1 species